ensembl:misc_RNA Metazoa_SRP Metazoan signal recognition particle RNA
GCCAGGCAUGGUGGUGCAUGCCUGUAAUCCCAGCUACUCGGGAGGCUGAGGCAGCAGAAUCACUUGAACCCAGGAGACGGGGGUUGCAGUGAGCCGAGAUGGCAUCACUGCACUCCAACCUGGGUGACAGAGUGAGCCUCUGUCUCAA